GGAUUUGUGACGUUUACUUUGAAAAAAUUAGAGUGUUCAAAGCAGGCUUUCGCUUGAAUACAUGAGCAUGGAAUAAUGGAAUAGGACUUUGGUUCUAUUUUGUUGGUUUCUAGGACCGAAGUAAUGAUUAAGAGGGACAAACGGGGGCAUCUGUAUUUCGUUGUCAGAGGUGAAAUUCUUGGAUUUGCGAAAGACAAACAACUGCGAAAGCACUUGCCAAGAGUGUUUUCAUUAAUCAAGAACGAAAGUUAGGGGAUCGAAGACGAUCAGAUACCGUCCUAGUUCUAACCAUAAACGAUGUCGACUAGGGAUCGGCGGGCGUUAUUUUAUGACCCCGUUGGCACCUUACGGGAAACCAAAGUUUUUGGAUUCCGGGGGUAGUAUGGUUGCAAAGCUGAAACUUAAAGGAAUUGACGGAAGGGCACCACCAGGAGUGGAGCCUGCGGCUUAAUUCGACUCAAC
rnacentral:rRNA from 1 species